rnacentral:misc_RNA from 1 species
AAUGUCGUAACAAGGUUUCCGUAGGUGAACCCGCGGAAUGGAUCAUUAGUUGACAGGCCUUCGCGCGGUACCCUGAAAUCCCUCCUUACAGCGGCCGGAGUUCGGCGCAAGGGCGAAGCCCCUCGCGGGGCGGAGUCCGCCGGAAAUUCUCGCAAAGCCAUGCCUUGAAAACUGCGGUCUGAGAGAAAUGAGAAUUAGCGAAAAU